rnacentral:rRNA from 1 species
CCCGCACAAGCGGCGGAGCAUGUGGCUUAAUUCGACGCAACGCGAAGAACCUUACCAGGGCUUGACAUGUACCUGACAGCCGUGGAAACACGGUCUUCUUCGGACAGGUACACAGGUGGUGCAUGGCUGUCGUCAGCUCGUGUAGUGAGAUGUUGGGUUAAGUCCCGCAACGAGCGCAACCCUUGUCGUAUGUUGCCAGCACGUUAUGGUGGGAACUCAUGCGAGACUGCCGGUGUCAAACCGGAGGAAGGUGGGAUGACGUCAAGUCAUCAUGCCCCUUAUGCCCUGGGCUGCACACGUGCUACAAUGGCUGGCACAAUGGGCUGCGAAACCGCGAGGUAGAGCGAAUCCCACAAAGCCAGUCUAAGUUCGGAUUGAAGGCUGAAACUCGCCUUCAUGAAGUCGGAGUCGCUAGUAAUCGCGAAUCAGCACGUCGCGGUGAAUACGUUCCCGGGCCUU